CCUACGUGUGGCAGCAGUGGGGAAUAUUGGACAAUGGGCGAAAGCCUGAUCCAGCCAUGCCGCGUGUGUGAAGAAGGCCUUCGGGUUGUAAAGCACUUUCAGUGGGGAAGAAAGCCUUGGGGCUAAUACCCUCGAGGAAGGACAUCACCCACAGAAGAAGCACCGGCUAACUCCGUGCCAGCAGCCGCGGUAAUACGGAGGGUGCGAGCGUUAAUCGGAAUUACUGGGCGUAAAGCGCGCGUAGGCGGUCUGAUAAGCCGGUUGUGAAAGCCCCGGGCUCAACCUGGGAACGGCAUCCGGAACUGUCAGGCUAGAGUGCAGGAGAGGAAGGUAGAAUUCCCGGUGUAGCGGUGAAAUGCGUAGAGAUCGGGAGGAAUACCAGUGGCGAAGGCGGCCUUCUGGACUGACACUGACGCUGAGGUGCGAAAGCGUGGGUAGCAAACAGGAUUAGAUCCCGUGUAGUC
rnacentral:rRNA from 1 species